UGGGUUUUACAGCAGUGGCAUACACUGAUGAUGGUCAGAACACGAUGAAAGCUGCCAGUGACAGAGCCCUGAAAACUGACAACUAUCAAUAUCAGAGAGCUCAUGAUCAUUACACAAAGCUCAUCUUCACACAGAUCGCGGUCAUCGUUUACAGAAACAAACGACACUCCUCUCCUCUGACCUCAUCUCCUCAUGCACCUGUGGGCGGCUGAGAUGGUCUGACAGGAGAAGUCCGAUAUCUUAGAUUGCGUUCCAAAGUUUCAAAUACGGCUUAUCGUGGAGGUUCUUUUGAGGUUGUCAAACUGUUGAAACUUCAAAACUGGAAGAUCUACAGAUAUCAUCAGCUACUGUACGUAUGUACGAGUAUGUAAGUAGGUGGUGUACAUACUAUAGCUACCUGUUCUGAGAGACAAUCUACUAGCACAAUCUGUACGA
rnacentral:misc_RNA from 1 species